rnacentral:rRNA from 1 species
UGCGGGCGAGCGGAUAAAGACAGGGUGGUGCAUGGUCUGUCUGUCUAGCUCUGUGUGCGUGAGUAUGGNGUGGUUUAACUCCACGCAAGCGACGCAGCAACCCCUUAUGUUAUUAGUNUCCCACGCAUUAGAGUUGGCACUCUAAUGAGACUGCCGGUGACAACACCGGAGGAAGGUGGGGAUAGACUGUCCAAAUCAUCAUGCCCCUUAUGACCAUGGGCUACACACGUGUACAAUGGCCUAGAUACAAACGGGAACGCGAAGCCCUGCGAGAGGGCGAAGCGAAUCCUCUGAAAUCUGGUUCUCAGUUCGGACUUGUCAGUGCGUGCAAAU